rnacentral:tRNA from 1 species
ACAUACCAGAUCGUCUUGA